UACAGAGGGUGCGAGCGUUGUUCGGAAUUAUUGGGCGUAAAGCGCACGUAGGCGGCUUGGUAUGUCGGGUGUGAAAUCCCCGGGCUCAACCUGGGAACUGCAUCCGAAACUGCCUUGCUAGAGUAUGGGAGAGGGAAGUGGAAUUUCCGGUGUAGCGGUGAAAUGCGUAGAUAUCGGAAGGAACAUCAGUGGCGAAGGCGACUUCCUGGACCAAUACUGACGCUCAGGUGCGAAAGCUAGGGGAGCAAACGGG
rnacentral:rRNA from 1 species